rnacentral:lncRNA from 12 species
AGGAACUAAUCAGAGGGAAGGUCUGGAAGUAGAAUUGAGCCAUGACUGCGUCAGUUAUUCUGUUACCUCAAAGAGUGCCAGGAAGCUCAGGAGGGAGGAUGACACCUGUACAGCUUAUGCAUCCCCCAAAUUCACUCCUGAAUUAUCAGGAAAAUCUCGUUUUUUUUUUUUUUUUUCUUUUUACUCCCAGCCAACUGAGAAAUUAAAGGCUGACGGUGACGACGCUGUUUCGUAACUCGGUGCCUUUUAAAAUUAAUGAAACUUUCAAGUGCUGCUUUAGAUUAAAAGUGGCUAAUUGGAUAAAGGGAAAAGAGCCACUCAGCUGGAUGAAUGGGAUCGUAAAAAGCCCAGACUGAGUUAUAGGAAAGGAAUGCAGGAGAAGAAUUCUUGCAAUAAUGUUUUAAUUAUAAAGUGAAGGCGAAUUCCUCCACUCUCUUCCAAUCUGAGGACAAGCUGGUAUGUCGCAGCAGCGCUGGGGAGCAUACAGGCUGAGAGUAAGCCCUUUUAUUUUUAAGGCAGGCUUGAAGGCUAAAACUUUCGAGUGCCCAAACGCUUCACAAUGAAAUAAAAAAAUAAUUAAAAAAAUUUUUUUUUAAAAAAAAUUUUAUUUUAUUAAGGACCUGGCGUGCCCUCGAAAAUGUCCGAGCGGGGAGUAGAGGUGACGGUAGGAGAGCAAGGCUGAGUCCGUUCUUAUUAAUAUUAAAUAGCCAAGUCUGUACCCUUGAAGCAAGUGGGGAGAGAAGAGGGGAGAGGAGCUGCUGACAUUGACAAUGAUUCCAAACAGGAGUUGCAAUAGCGGUGUCCACCACGUUGCCUCUGCCCCCGCCUGGCCUUCUGGGAGUUGUAGUUUUCGCGGGAGCGGCUCCCCCGGCGAGCCGGGCACGCCCCGUCCGGGCCGAACUACAGAUCCCAGGCAGCGCCCCGCCGCCCGCCCCUCCCGCCCGGGUGCGAGUGUAAACUCGCCGCGCCGGGGCGGGCGGCCGCGCGCGGGCGAGCGGGCUGAGCUGGGCGCUGCGCGGGGGCGCACGGCUCGGGCGGGGGGGGGAACCCAGGCCCCGCCACCUUCCCUCCGCCCCCCGCCCCGGGCUCUGUUCUCACUUUGCAGCCGUGGAAGGACUGGGAGCGGGAGCCAUGCAGUCGGAAUCGGGGAUCGUGCCGGAUUUCGAAGUCGGGGAGGAGUUUCACGAAGAGCCCAAAACCUAUUACGAACUCAAAAGUCAACCUCUGAAGAGCAGCCUCUAGAUCACGCUUCCUGUCCACACUGAUGUGAAAAUGUCAGUGUUGGUGCAAAAAUGGAAAUUCAAGAAGAAGCCUCUCCUCCCACACAGCACCUCAAGCUUUCAUCAGUGUUGACAUCUACAGGCAAUAGUGUGUUUUUAAUUCAACAACUUAAAACAAAAAUCUUCAAAGCGUUCGAAUUCCAGUUGCUGUGUUCUUUGAUUCAAGUACUCAUGGAGUGGUGACUUUCAAAAGGGAAAAACCCCGGGUCAU